AUUUUAUUCCAUUUUUGUUGUGUUUUUUUUUUCAUUUUUCUGCCUCGAUACACACAUGAUCAUUAUUCCACGCACCA
rnacentral:ribozyme from 12 species